rnacentral:rRNA from 1 species
UAGCGCAUAGUACUGUGAAGGAAAGGUGAAAAGUACCCCGGGAGGGGAGUGAAACAGUCUCUGAAACCGUGCGCCUACAAUCCGUCGGAGCCCUUUUGUGGGGUGACGGCGUGCCUAUCGAAAAAUGAGUCUGCGAGUCAGUGGUGCGUGGCGAGGCUAACCCGUGGUGGGGGAGCCGUAGCGAAGGCGAGUCUCAAAAGGCGUUUUGAGUCGCGCGCCCUGGACCCGAAGCGGGAUGAUCUAGCCCUGGGCAGGUUGAAGCGCGGGUAAGACCGCGUGGAGGACCGAACCCACCUGGGUUGAAAACCGGGGGGAUGACUUGGGGCUAGGGGUGAAAGGCCAAUCAAAUUCCGUGAUAGCUGGUUCUCUCCGAAAUGCAUUUGGGUGCAGCGUCGGGUCAUUACGUCCCGGGGGUAGAGCUACUGGAUGCUUGCGGGCCCGUAUCGGGUACCAACAGCAACCAAACUCCGAAUACCGGUGACGCGUAUCCCGGCAGUGAGUCGGCGGGGGAUAAGCUUCGUCGUCGAAAGGGAAACAGCCCAGACCGUCGUCUAAGGUCCCGAAGCGUGUGCUAAGUGGGAAAGGAUGUGGAGUCGCAUAGACAGCCAGGAGGUUGGCUCAGAAGCAGCCACCCUUGAAAGAGUGCGUAACAGCUCACUGGUCUAGUGGUUCCGCGCCGACAAUGUAGCGGGGCUCAAGCACACCACCGAAGACGCGGCAGUAUUUUGUACUGGGUAGGAGAGCGUCCCAUGAGGGGCGAAGCGGCCGUGUGAACGCGCCGUGGACUUCAUGGGAGUGAGAAUGCAGACAUGAGUAGCGAGAGACGGGUGAAGAUCCCGUCCGCUGGAUGACCAAGGGUUCCAGGGCCACGUUCAUCGUCCCUGGGUGAGUCGGGUCCUAAGGCGAGGCCGACAGGCGUAGUCGAAUGGAUGAACGGGUCGAUAUUCCCGUACCGGCUUUCAGCCGCCAAAACCGAGGCUUGGAGUACUAACCUCCGGGUCCGGGCUUACUGCUCCUUCGGGGGCGGGAUGCCCUGGCCUGUUGGGACCGAUCCUUGUAGUAGGUCAGCGCAGGAGUGACGCAGAAGGGUAGCCGGCCGCGGAGGUGGUCUUCCGUGGUCAAGCACGCAGGGCGUGGGACAGGCAAAUCCGUCCCGCAUGGGUCCGAGGUGCGAUGAUGGGGGCCUUAUGGCCCGAUAUCCGGUGAUCCCGGCUGCCGAGAAAAGCUUCGGCGUCAGGCUCAAAGCCGCCCGUACCCCAAACCGACACUGGUGGUCAGGUAGAGAAUACCAAAGCGAUCGAGCGAAUCCUGGUCAAGGAACUCGGCAAAUCACUCCCGUUCCUUCGGUUUAAGGGAGACCCCCGAUGGUGAACACACUUGCUGUGGGAGCUUUUGGGGGUGGCACAGACCAGGGGGUAGCGACUGUUUACCAAAAACACAGGUGCAUGCGAAGGCGCAAGCCGCUGUAUAUGCACUGACGCCUGCCCGGUGCCGGAAGGUUAAGAGGAUCCGUCAGCCUUCGGGUGAAGCGGUGAAUUCAAGCCCCGGUAAACGGCGGUGGUAACUAUAACCAUCCUAAGGUAGCGAAAUUCCUUGUCGGGUAAGUUCCGACCUGCACGAAUGGCGUAACGAUCUCCACACUGUCUCGGCCAGAGACUCGGUGAAAUUGAAGUCGCGGUGAAAAUGCCGUGUACCCGCAGAAAGACGGAAAGACCCUGUGCACCUUUACUAUAGCUUGACAUUGGGAUUUGAGCCUGCAUGUGUAGCAUAGGUGGGAGGCUGUGAACUCUGUACGCCAGUAUGGAGGGAGCCAACGUUGAAAUACCACCCUUGUUUGUUCAGGUCCCUAACUCUUCGCCGUUACCCGGUAAGAGGACAGUGUCUGGUGGGUAGUUUGACUGGGGCGGUCGCCUCCCAAAAUGUAACGGAGGCAUGCAAAGGUUCCCUCAGGCUGAUUGGAAACCAGCCGUCGAGUGCAAACGCAAAAGGGAGCUUGACUGCAAGAGAGACAUCUCGAGCAGGUACGAAAGUAGGUGUUAGUGAUCCGGUGAUCCCGAAUGGAAGGGUCAUCGCUCAUUGGAUAAAAGGUACGCCGGGGAUAACAGGCUGAUCGCAUCCAAGAGUUCACAUCGACGAUGCGGUUUGGCACCUCGAUGUCGGCUCAUCACAUCCUGGGGCUGAAGCAGGUCCCAAGGGUACGGCUGUUCGCCGUUUAAAGUGGUACGCGAGCUGGGUUUAAAACGUCGUGAGACAGUUUGGUCCCUAUCUACCGCGGGCGUUGGAUGAUUGCAGGGAGUUGCUCCUAGUACGAGAGGACCGGAGUGAACGAACCUCUGGUUUACGGGUUGUCAUGCCAAUGGCACGGCCCGGCAGCCAAGUUCGGACCUGAUAACCGCUGAAAGCAUCUAAGCGGGAAGCAGACCCUAAGAUAAGUCAUCCCAAUCCUAGAGAUUGUAAAGACCGUUGAAGACUACGACGUUGAUAGGCCGGAUGUGGAAGCCCUGUGAGGGGUGGAGCUUGCCGGUACUAAUUAUCUGAGAGUCUUGACCAU